UCAUCCUGGAGCGCUGAUAUUGCGAAUAAUGGAAGCAGAAUGCAAGCUAUCGUGCAACGCUAAGCCUAAGUGAAAGACUCACAAUCCAGAGAUGCGCAUGUCGAGUUCCUGACGCCUCCUAAGCUCUAAUUACUCUCUAACUAAGCUCAAGCACUAAGAUACAAUACAGAGCAAUGAGCAUCAACAAGCUAGAGCCUUGAGCAGAAGUAGAGCUUAGCCUUGCAUUCGACAUGCUUGCCUGUUGGCAUGGAGCUAUAAAUAAAUGUAUACUCCCCUGUGAUGUCUUGUUUAUUUGUACUAGUAGGAGCUAGAGUUAACUGUUGUUGGUAUGGCAUUGCUACCCCGUUCAUCUUUUCCAGUGAAAUUUAAGGAGGGGAGAUUUGACACACUUUAUUUUUUUUUCCGGGUCGACACACUUUAUUUCAGUCACAUUAUUCAUCGAUCAGCUGCCUACAUACAGACAUUCAGCGCAGAGUUAAACACGAGCAGAGUGAAACGCAUUUGAUAUUGGAGAAGCACAAGUCAUUCGCUUUCACUGCAAUACACACCGAUCCCAGUAGCCUGUGCAUUGCUUGAUGGAUUCUUGUUGUGCGCAAGGAGGUAGGGAAGGGAAUGCAUUGCUCUGCUAUAAACUGUAGUGUUCAUGUAUGAACGAGGCUGAGUAAUGGAGGUGACAGACCAAUGGUUUAUUAUCCUGGAUCUGCCCCAAUUAUUUUAACUGCCUUUGCAAUAGAACAACGACAAGAAUUAAACUA